GCGAGACCUUGCCUCUUCCCCCAAAGUAAGCAAGUGUGCUCACCCCAAGAGGAAGGCCCAGCCAAGGGAGGUUGGGGAGGUUUAUCUAGGGAGAAGUUACUGAAACUCUCACCAGGAAGACAAAGGAAAUGUAAAUGUUGUCAGAAUAAAAAUGGAGUUGCUUGCAUCAGCCCUAUCAAAAGAAGUGAAUAAAGCCGGGAGGAUAUGAAAGCAAACCCUGUUCUGUUUUUUUUCCAUACAGCACCCUAUUUAAUCAUUGUACCUAUUCUAUGGGUAAUCUAUAAAUAUCCUCUUCAAUUUAUAGGCGAGGCAAAUGAGCUUUUCCAUCUCAGUUCUACCAAAGUACUCGACACAAUUAACGAUCUUCCAUGCUGUAUGUCAGCGGCCCAACGUAGAAGUCCUCGGGGCGGCAUCAGAAGGCUGUGUUUCUCUCUGCAUGCUCUGGAGGCACCAGCGCCAGGCAUGGUGAACAACCAGUCCAGUGAAUUAUCCAGCCUCAUUUGUGGAGUUCAGCCCCAGAGGAAGUCUAUAAACAAGCAACUCUUGGUCUUAAGAAAUUCUAAAGGUUCUCUGCAGCACAGUGUGAAAAGGAGGAUUUCCUGGAUGCAGCCUUCAAAGUGCUAUCUUGAAAAUGGAGAUCAGGUCCUUAAGUGACUCCAAAUCCAGCAACACCAUUCCCUUAAACUUCCCAGCUUCCAGC